AAUAAAUCUGACAUAUCACUUCAUCUUGCAUACGUCUAAAAUUUACCAAAACACACCAACACGUUACAAAAUUCAAUCAAACAUUUUUUUAUUUUAUUUUUCUUCUGUAUCUAAGCUGUUGUUAAUAUCGAAACUGUCCAAGUUUCCGUAUUUAAAAUCAAUUUGAAGUUAAUCGCCGCAAUUGGACAUGCCUGUACGUAAUUGCUGUUUGGGUUGUCAGGGGCCUAUGUCUGGCCCGUGCGGUCCCCUGGCCUAUAGAAUGGAUUGCUGCGGUCAAGUUGGUCCCUGUUGCGUGCACGCGAGAGGUGCUUAUUGUUCAAACUCGUGUUGGCGGUGCGGAGAUAUGCACGGCUACCGUGGAGGAGUAGCCGGCUCGUACUACAGCUGUGGGCACGGCUGUAUCGGAGGCUGCACUGGAGGGCUCUGCGCUUCUUGCUGUGGUCCAUGGUGCGCAUAAAUAAUGUAACGCAAAAGAAAUGUGAAUCGAGUCAAAAUUGAAUAAAGUGUAUUUUUUGAA